GGGAAUGUGGCUUAGUGGUAGAGUGCUUGUCUAGCAUGCAUGAAGCCCUGAGUUCAACUCCUCAGUACCA
rnacentral:tRNA from 1 species